UGGAAACGGCUCCCUAAGAGCACUCUCAUGAGAUGGAGGAGGAACCGUACUGUUCUCAACAUAGACAUCAGCCGAAUAUACAUCACAAGCAAUAUCAGAGUCAGAUGUAGAAGGAGAAUCAUAGACACAGGCAGAAUAAGCAUUUCUCACAUAACCAAAAUAGGUAGACAUGGGAAAGAAGGGGGAAAAGAAGAAUGUAAUGAAAAUAUGCAACGAAAGCUACCUAAAUGCAACACACAUAACACACAUACAAAAACGAACACACAAAAGAGAACAUCACACUCACAACACAAGACAAAACAUAACACACACUAACACAACAAAAGACCUAAAACCGAACCGUUGGUCCCUUGCAACGGCGCCAAAAUUUGAUGGGUGUCGCGGCCCAUGCAAAUUUGAUUGCAUAUAAGAAAUGCAGUAUAGCUAGGAAGUGACUCCUAGGUCGUCUCUCAAGGACCAAAUGUGGUUC
rnacentral:lncRNA from 1 species